rnacentral:piRNA from 1 species
UUUCUCCUGCUGUGGUAAUGCACG